UUUUAAUUGAAAACUAGAAUGAAAGAUUAAAUGAAAUAUAAACUUUAUAAAUAAAAUAAAAAUUUAAAUUAAAUUUUAAGUUAAAAUUCUUAAAUAAUAUUAAAAGACGAGAAGACCCUUUAGAAUUUUAUAUUAAAAAUAAUUAAAUUUAUAAUAAUUCAUAUAUAAAUUACUUUUAGUAUUUAAUUGGGGUAAUUUUAUAAUUUAAUAAACUUUUAAAUAAAUAAUACAUAAAUUAAUGAAAACAUAAACCUAAUUUUUAGAAUAUUAAAAUAAAUUACC
rnacentral:rRNA from 1 species